GUUGGUCAUUUAGUUAUUUUUUGUCGGAAAACUUUCAUUGAUUGAUGCCCAUAGGUAUCAGACUUUACAAUUUUAAGAGGCCCAAUAUAAUUUUUUUAAAAGUUUACAGCCUAAAUUUAAAGAGAAGGGAAUCAACGUUCGCUAGGUUUCUAGAGACACGUCUUGGACACACAUCACUUAUGUCGUUAAUAACAAUUUCGGCCGCCACUGCAGACCUUCAACAUCGCUAAAUCUCUAUAUCGCUUCUCCGACUUCUUAGCACAUCUCCAAGAAACAGAGCAUAAGAAGCUCUAGACAUUGAUACCAAUCGAGUUGUCCCUUCUCUUUCACUUUCCUUGCUCAUUCACGACCUUCAUCAUCUUUCUACUGGAGCGCAUCAGCCAUCUCAGAUAACCAUGACUCGGAAACCUUUAAAGCUGACCACUAAGGACUGCGGCAUGAAGCAGGCACGAUGUUACCCAAUCAAGAAAGAUGGGUCUGAUUGCUUAGAGAUCGGCCGGGAUAAAACUUAGAAAUCUCGAAGAAUCACUCUGAAAGUUGAUAGAAAAUGGAAAAAAUAUUAUUCAACCCCAAAUCAAAAAGACAAGAAAGAGACCAUGAAGAAUAGCUAUGAUUGAGGUUGAAAUCACAACAAUAAUUGCCAAAGCGAAGUGAGAAUCUGAUUAAACGAAAGAGAAAAUCGAUCUCUCGAUCGAAACUAUUAUACAAACGAACAAAAAAAAACAUAACUAUUUCCUUCUAAAAGAUAUUUGAUGUGGUAAGAAGGAAAGAGAGAAAACAUUCUCUCUCUAAAGAAGAGAGAGAUGCUCCUCUGAACCAGGGACGGGCCUGAAUACAAGCCCAUCAAUCAUUUGAUUGACGGCCGAGGGCCGAUCAGUAUAAAAAAUAUUAUGGGGCCAAUUUUUAUAACGAUUAGAUAGCAGAGAUGGUGCAAGAAGCUAUUAUAUGGGUCUCUUCCUUAGGCUCCCUGGGUUCGAGUGCUGAGUAGUGCGGAUCUGGGCCAAAAAAAGUUUCUCUCGCUUCUAGUCUGCCAAAUGUAAGGAUCUGAACUUCAAAGACUUGGUCAUAUAGCAUUAGCUUGGAUUCCUAAAUUUCUAACUAGUUUAGUUUAGAUUAGUUUCUGUUGGUAAAAAAAAUGUCUUAAAUUUUCAAGGUAUUUAUUAUAAUUGGUGUGUAAAUAAACAUUAUUUCGUUUGUGAUGGGU
rnacentral:lncRNA from 1 species